rnacentral:rRNA from 6 species
UCUAAACGACUCUCGGCAACGGAUAUCUCGGCUCUCGCAUCGAUGAAGAACGUAGCGAAAUGCGAUACUUGGUGUGAAUUGCAGAAUCCCGUGAACCAUCGAGUCUUUGAACGCAAGUUGCGCCCGAAGCCUUCAGGCCGAGGGCACGCCUGCCUGGGCGUCAC